AACGAACGCUGGCGGCAGGCUUAACACAUGCAAGUCGAACGCCCCGCAAGGGGAGUGGCAGACGGGUGAGUAACGCGUGGGAACGUACCUUUCGCUUCGGAAUAUUCCCGGGAAACUGGGAGCAAUGCCGAAUACGCCGUAUUGGGAAAGAUUUAUCGGCGAAAGAUCGGCCCGCGUUAGAUUAGGUAGUUGGCGGUGUA
rnacentral:rRNA from 1 species